rnacentral:rRNA from 1 species
UACGUAGGGUGCAGGCGUUAAUCGGAAUUACUGGGCGUAAAGCGUGCGCAGGCGGUCUUUUAAGUCAGAUGUGAAAUCCCCGGGCUUAACCUGGGAACUGCGUUUGAAACUGGAAGGCUAGAGUGCGGAAGGGGCAACUGGAAUUCUCGGUGUAGCGGUGAAAUGCGUAGAUAUCGAGAGGAACACCUGCGGCGAAGGCGGGUUGCUGGGCCGACACUGACGCUGAUGCGCGAAAGCCAGGGGAGCGAACGGG